UAUCAAGAGCUGGAGGUGCUGGGUCAUGGAGGCUUUGCCACCGUGUUUUCUGGAAUACGCAUAAAAGACAGUUUUCCAGUGGCAAUCAAACAUGUUCAACAGCGCAGACUUGCGCGCACAACAAUGGAUUGGAAUGGGAAAAGUACUGAUGUUCCCCUGGAGGUGGCGCUACUGAUACAAGUUGGGGCUGGACCACAUGAUACGGAAAGCAGUAUAACCCCACUUCUACUUGACUGGUUUGAUCUGGAAGAUGAGCUUAUUAUGGUUUUUGAGAAACCAGAAAAUUGCAUGGACUUAGACAAUUACCUCAAAACUACAGAUAAACCUCUGUCAGAG
ensembl:lncRNA